AGUGGCGAACUGGUGAGUAACACGUGGGUAACCCGCCCUUGAAGUAGGGGAUAACACUUGGAAACAGGUGCUAAUACCGUAUAACAACCAAAACCACCUGGUUUUGGUUUAAAAGACGGCUUCGGCUGUCACUUUAGGAUGGACCCGCGGCGUAUUAGCUUGUUGGUAAGGUAACGGCCUACCAAGGCGAUGAUACGUAGCCGACCUGAGAGGGUAAUCGGCCACAUUGGGACUGAGACACGGCCCAAACUCCUACGGGAGGCAGCAGUAGGGAAUCUUCCACAAUGGACGAAAGUCUGAUGGAGCAACGCCGCGUGAGUGAUGAAGGGUUUCGGCUCGUAAAACUCUGUUGUUGGAGAAGAACAGGUGUCAGAGUAACUGUUGACAUCUUGACGGUAUCCAACCAGAAAGCCACGGCUAACUACGUGCCAGCAGCCGCGGUAAUACGUAGGUGGCAAGCGUUGUCCGGAUUUAUUGGGCGUAAAGCGAGCGCAGGCGGUUUUUUAGGUCUGAUGUGAAAGCCUUCGGCUUAACCGGAGAAGUGCAUCGGAAACCGGGAGACUUGAGUGCAGAAGAGGACAGUGGAACUCCAUGUGUAGCGGUGAAAUGCGUAGAUAUAUGGA
rnacentral:rRNA from 1 species